rnacentral:rRNA from 1 species
CCUACGGGUGGCAGCAGUGGGGAAUAUUGCGCAAUGGGCGCAAGCCUGACCCAGCCACGCCGCGUGAAGGAAGAAGGCUUUCGGGUUGUAAACUUCUUUUGACAGGGAAGAGUAGAAGACGGUACCUGUCGAAUCAGCCACGGCUAACUACUUGCCAACAGCCGCGGUAAUACGUAGGUGGCAAGCGUUGUCCGGAUGUACUGGUUGUAAGGGGCGUGUAGCCGGGUGGGCAAGUCAGCUGUGAAAUCCUGAGGCUUAACCGCAGAACUGACUUUGAAACUGUUGAACUGGAGUACUGGGGAGGAAGGCGGAAUUCCGGGGGGAGCGGUGAAAUGCGUAGAUAGGAGGAGGAACAGCAGUGGCGAAGGCGGUCAGCGGGACAACAACUGACGCUGAGGAGCGAAAGCGUGGGGAGCAAACAGGAUUAGAUACCCCAGUAGUC